GCCAAUUAUACCAUCAAGUAGUUUAGGGUCAAGUGAGGAUGCUGGCCAUAGGAACUUCCAUUUUCCGCACAACUACUUAUUGUUUUCUAAGAGUGAGAAGUCACUAUUAGCUGACUAUCCAUUAGCCACUUUGCCACUUUCUUCCUUCCUAAUAGAACCAUGAUUUUCUUUCUUCUGGCAUUUGUAUACCGUAUGCUUCAGGGGCCCUCACAAACCUCCAGGGUAAAGGUUUUGAUUAGUCUACAGUCGAGCUGGUAGAUACAACCCCUUGGUCAGUGACUAGUUUAGGCAUGGAUAUGUGACAUAAUCCUGGCCAAUGAGAAGUAAAGAGAAGCCUGCUAGGGGAUUUCUUGGAAAGUUUCUUGCAUUAAAAGAGCAGACAGAGCAAGUCAGAGACUCACCUCUUUUCUGCUUCUAGGAAGGCUAAUGGAAAGAGGUGAUGCCUAGAAGAGCUUCAGCAUCAUGUAACAAUGGCGUGGAUGAGAUGACAGAAUAGAAAGACGGAAAGAACCUGGGAUCUUGAAGGGUUACUGUGUCCCCCGGCUUAAGCAAUCAUCUUAAGUGUCAGGCACUCCUGCUGACCUUUGGAUGUGCAGCUCCCUCUAUCCUUCUAGAAACUUGGAGAAGUGCUUGCUUUGCACCUUGUACAACACCUCCACCGUGGCUGAAAUGCGGAGAUGGAUGAGGAAACCUUGAUUACUGGAUGAUCCUGUGGAACACAGCUUCCCACCCAGACCAGCAGCUCACCUAGUUUAAUUAUGCUGCAUGAGAAUGAAACAAACUUCUGCUAUGCAUGGCGAAGGUGAUCAUAUAAGUCUUAAGCUAUUUUCCAGGUAUUCCAUCCAGAAAAACACUGUGGGAUUUACCAGUGGGUAUGGGAACUCGGGAAUCAUGCCAGAAGGCAUGUCCCACAGCAGGCACUGCACAGUGUGUGGCCCCUGCAGGAUCCCAUGAAGGACUCACUUGGAGCCCAUCGGGGACUCAGCAUUUAGAGUUUUGCCAGGCGUGGGUACUGACUUCCAAGGAAGCAGGGACCAAGCACCACUUAAAUAGAAGAAUUUUGCUUUCCUCCCAUGACAGAGAGAAUGGAAGAAAAGCAGAAGAGAGAAGCACACUCCCUUCUAGUGGACAGUGAGUCUCCUGAGUUAGGAGGAAGAUAACUCAGUUGGACAUAAGUUUGAACCUUUAAGCCAGAUCAAGUAUAUUAUAUUACAUUCUUUAAUAUCUGAAAAUGACUGUAAAGUUUUACCUAAGAUGUCAGUUAGGGGAGGGCAAGUGAGACUCAGCAGAGGUUCUUUAGGGGCAGCCACUGGAAGAAAUAAUAUUGUUUAUGUUUGAACUCUACUGAGUUUAGGCCAUUCAAUAAACUGGUUGCAAACUGAAAAAAACAACACACAAAAAUGUUGGAAUUGUAAGUCUAACCCUGCUCCUGGCCUAAUUUGGCGGUGGCCCUCUUCCCUAGGAAAAGAACAGUUUAAAAAGGGGAAAGGGAGAAAGGUGAAGUGGUAAGAGGUGGGGGUGAAUGCUGGAGAUCUAGACUUAGAGCCCAAGAGGCGUGAGAGCCAGGGGCAGAUGGGCAUCACCCGGGGCACAUGGCAAAACCCUGCAGGGUAUAGAGGGUAAUUGCGUCUCCACCACCCAGCAUGUUUCCAUCUGUGUGAGAGAAGCUCAUUGAGAGUAAUGCUGUUGGCCUCUUUCUGCCCCUUUAUUCACACCUUCCCAGGACAGGUGGAAAAACUUAACUGAUUGGUAUUUUGGGGAAAAAUAAACAGCACCAUCAGCUCAAUUCCUUGAUCCCUUCUGAGAGCUGCCCCGGGGUCCAGGCAUUCUACUCGAACUCUGCCUACAAGUGGCUUGGGAAACUGACUCCACCUGGGAUACCUGCAUGGGGACAGUGGUCCCUAGGACGAGGUAGCAAAGGAAAGGAUUAGCAUUACUGGGCCCUCCAGUCCACUCCGCAGGGCAUUGAUGUGGCUGAGUGGGAAAACAGCACACCCUAGACCCAGACACAGCAGCUAGAGGACAGGGAAAGGAGAGAUGAUUGGAAAGUGGCCCAAAUUAUAUGUGAGACAUCCCAGCCCCACCUGGAACCUCCAGAGACGUGCAAAACAAGAAAGUCUGAAUAAGCCACGUGUCAGGUGAGGACUGGCAUUAGAGCAGAUUUAGGGGCUGUGGGGAAGUUGGGGUUCCUGUGGCCAGGAUCCUCACUGAAUUUAAACCACCUGAUGAUGUAACUGGCCUGUUGCUAGGCUCCUGCUUCCACACCUUUAGGCAAUAAACUAUUUAUUGCGCUAUAUAGAGAGCUCGCCCAGUGCUAUGGGUGGAGGCAGAGAUGCUAGCGCUCCACCUACCAUUGAGAAAACAAGCUGGGUUAUAAACCCUUUCACCCCAAAGAACAUUCUACUGUCAUUUCUUUGGUCACACUGAAUCCAUAGUGAACUUGCCUGGACUGAAACCCCUUGGCAAGACAGGGGCAAACCAUAAAGCGACUUAUCCCUGCUUCUUUCAACUAUGGCAAUGAAGGGACAGUAAGGCUGUAAUAAUCAACUAAUACUUGAAAGACCUCCUGCUAUGUAAAUACUACUAUUACAGGGGUUUUGUGAAACUUAGGGGAGAAGCAGCCUAACAUCUAAAUAAAAUACGAUUUAGUGAAAUGUCAGCUUUUCUUUCUGUCAUGGGAGGAAAAAAAAAAAAACCCAGAUUUUCUCAGAAGUUUCCACUCAAAUUCUUCCCAGUUUUACCCCUCCUGGUUUUAUUGAUUCUUCAGCUUGGUGGAGAAGGUAUGAAAUUAGAUAAGCUUAAAGGAACCAGCCAGUGAGAUUCAACUGCACUACUCAAAUCCCAGCGAAGGACUAAAGAUUCUUAGGGUGCAGGGUUUGAAGAUGCUCAUUUCAAACCAGUUUUUAAAAAGUAGAGGUGUAGCUACAUUUCACCACUCCUACCAGGCUUCUUUUUUUUUUUCUGGAGAAAAUUCUGAAUUCAGCACAGUUUUUCUGCUAUGUAAGUGUUUCAUAAUGAUAUUCGUUCAUACAAGUUCUUAUUAUAACACAGCCAACAAGGGCCAGAUUGGUCGUGGUUGAGUCAUACCUGCCAUUUUGUGGGCUACAUCUUUGUAAAUAAGUUGGGUCAUUGCCUUAAUUGGGGUCAUGUUGGAGUGGGGGCGGUGCACCGGGUCAGUCAGUCCUUUUCACCCGUGUGGUUCUUUCGGCGUCCUGGGCGCCAAGUGCAGCAAGCCAGAGGAGGCCGGAGCACAGAUUUGCUGUGGGAAAAGCAGCAGGCUCCCAAAGCGUCUGAUAUUGUAGAUGACUCAGUGUGUUGACAAUAAUUUUUCUUAAACUUGGCGUCAUUCUCUUCCCUUAGAAGUUGAGAAUACUAACCUCAGGGCAGACAGGCUGAAGGACCGGAAAUGGCUUUGGAACCGGGAAGUUCUAUGCGCAGAGCAGAGCUCUGCCACUCAGCUCGCAGUAACACUGAGCAGUCAUUAGCCCUUCUGGGUCUCGGGUUUCUCAUCUGAGAAUGGGAUAAGAAUACUUCAACCA